AUGUCCUCAGGGCACAAAAGAAAUAAGACGCGUUAGAAAAACGUCCCUGAUUAUCGGCAUUGAAAAGUAGGAAUUCAGCUCUGGCCAGUGCAGAGCUAGCCUUUUCAGCGCUGUCGGCAAAGUCAGAGGAGAAAUUGCAGCGCUGAAAACAGAAACAUGAACACUAGAAAAUCAAAGUAUCCGCACAAGCAACCAAAACUUAGGAAAACACAAAACAAAAACGGAAAGCAGAAAAACAAGAAAAACAAAAACUAAAAACAAACCAACAGUGGGUUGCCUCCCACCAAGCGCUAGUUUUAAAGUCGCCAGCCCGACUUCAGCGCUAAUCUUCAGCCUGGAUCACGCAGAGCUUGAGAUUCCAUCGCCAUCGGCGAGCUCUGCUCAUAGGACGGCCUCACGUUAUGGCCGUUCAAUCUAAAAUUCUCC
rnacentral:lncRNA from 1 species